rnacentral:rRNA from 1 species
UGGGGAAUUUUGGACAAUGGGGGAAACCCUGAUCCAGCCAUCCCGCGUGUGCGAUGAAGGCCUUCGGGUUGUAAAGCACUUUUGGCAGGAAAGAAACGUCGCGGGUUAAUACCCCGCGGAACUGACGGUACCUGCAGAAUAAGCACCGGCUAACUACGUGCCAGCAGCCGCGGUAAUACGUAGGGUGCAAGCGUUAAUCGGAAUUACUGGGCGUAAAGCGUGCGCAGGCGGUUCGGAAAGAAAGAUGUGAAAUCCCAGAGCUUAACUUUGGAACUGCAUUUUUAACUACCGGGCUAGAGUGUGUCAGAGGGAGGUGGAAUUCCGCGUGUAGCAGUGAAAUGCGUAGAUAUGCGGAGGAACACCGAUGGCGAAGCNCNCC